AUUGAACGCUGGCGGCAUGCCUUACACAUGCAAGUCGAACGGCAGCACGGGUGCUUGCACCUGGUGGCGAGUGGCGAACGGGUGAGUAAUACAUCGGAACGUACCUUAUCGUGGGGGAUAACGCAGCGAAAGUUGCGCUAAUACCGCAUACGCCCUGAGGGGGAAAGCGGUGGACCGUAAGGCCUCGCGCGAUUAGAGCGGCCGAUGUCUGAUUAGCUGGUUGGUGAGGUAAAAGCUCACCAAGGCGAUGAUCAGUAGCUGGUCUGAGAGGACGAUCAGCCACACUGAGACUGAGACACGGCCCAGACGCCGACGGGAGGCAGCAGUGGGGAAUUUUGGACAAUGGGGGCAACCCUGAUCCAGCAAUGCCGCGUGAGUGAAGAAGGCCUUCGGGUUGUAAAGCUCUUUUGUCAGGGAAGAAACAGCAGCUCUAACACAGUCUGCGAAUGACGGUACCUGAAGAAUAAGCACCGGCUAACUACGUGCCAGCCGCCGCCGUAA
rnacentral:rRNA from 1 species